rnacentral:rRNA from 1 species
AGAGUUUGAUCAUGGCUCAGAUUGAACGCUGGCGGCAGGCCUAACACAUGCAAGUCGAGCGGUAGCACAGGAGAGCUUGCUCUCUGGGUGACGAGCGGCGGACGGGUGAGUAAUGUCUGGGAAACUGCCUGAUGGAGGGGGAUAACUACUGGAAACGGUAGCUAAUACCGCAUAACGUCUUCGGACCAAAGUGGGGGACCUUCGGGCCUCACGCCAUCAGAUGUGCCCAGAUGGGAUUAGCUAGUAGGUGGGGUAAUGGCUCACCUAGGCGACGAUCCCUAGCUGGUCUGAGAGGAUGACCAGCCACACUGGAACUGAGACACGGUCCAGACUCCUACGGGAGGCAGCAGUGGGGAAUAUUGCACAAUGGGCGCAAGCCUGAUGCAGCCAUGCCGCGUGUGUGAAGAAGGCCUUCGGGUUGUAAAGCACUUUCAGCGAGGAGGAAGGGUAGUGUGUUAAUAGCACAUUGCAUUGACGUUACUCGUAGAAGAAGCACCGGCUAACUCCGUGCCAGCAGCCGCGGUAAUACGGAGGGUGCAAGCGUUAAUCGGAAUUACUGGGCGUAAAGCGCACGCAGGCGGUUUGUUAAGUCAGAUGUGAAAUCCCCGCGCUUAACGUGGGAACUGCAUUUGAAACUGGCAUGCUAGAGUCUUGUAGAGGGGGGUAGAAUUCCAGGUGUAGCGGUGAAAUGCGUAGAGAUCUGGAGGAAUACCGGUGGCGAAGGCGGCCCCCUGGACAAAGACUGACGCUCAGGUGCGAAAGCGUGGGGAGCAAACAGGAUUAGAUACCCCGGUAGUCC